rnacentral:tRNA from 1 species
GCCCCGCGGUGGUAGCACAUCAAAAUGCAAGUUUGGAGGAGCACACCAGGCUGUGUGCCGGGGC